CACGUAGGGGGCGAGCGUUGUCCGGAUUUAUUGGGCGUAAAGAGCUCGUAGGCGGUUUGGUAAGUCUGGUGUGAAAUCUCCACGCUCAACGUGGAGGGGCCACCCGAUACUGCCAUGACUGGAGUCCGGUAGAGGAGUGUGGAAUUCCCGGUGUAGCGGUGAAAUGCGCAGAUAUCGGGAGGAACACCCGUAGCGAAGGCGGCACUCUGGGCCGGUACUGACGCUGAGGAGCGAAAGCGUGGGAGCAAACAGG
rnacentral:rRNA from 1 species